rnacentral:miRNA from 1 species
CAGGAGAGGACUCAAGUU